UAGUCCACGCUGUAAACGAUGAGCACUAGUUAUAGGAGGUAUUGACCCCUUCUGUAACGCAGCUAACGCAUUAAGUGCUCCGCCUGGGGAGUACGGUCGCAAGACUAAAACUCAAAGGAAUUGACGGGGGCCCGCACAAGCGGUGGAUCAUGUGGUUUAAUUCGAAGCAACGCGCAGAACCUUACCUGGGUUUGAAAUCCUACGAAUCUUCCAGAGAUGGAGGAGUGCUCCUUGGAGAAUGUAGAGACAGGUGCUGCAUGGCUGUCGUCAGCUCGUGUUGUGAAAUGUUGGGUUAAGUCUCGCAACGAGCGCAACCCCUAUUGUUAGUUGCCAGCAUUAAGUUGGGCACUCUAGCAAGACUGCCAGGGUUAACCUGGAGGAAGGUGGGGGAUGACGUCAAGUCCUCAUGGGCCCUUAUAUCCAGGGGCUACACACGUGAUACAAUGGUGCAUAC
rnacentral:rRNA from 1 species